rnacentral:rRNA from 1 species
AGUGAACGCUGGCGGUAGGCCUAACACAUGCAAGUCGAACGGCAGCACAGUAAGAGCUUGCUCUUACGGGUGGCGAGUGGCGGACGGGUGACGAAUACAUCGGAAUCUACUUUUUCGUGGGGGAUAACGUAGGGAAACUUACGCUAAUACCGCAUACGACCUACGGGUGAAAGCAGGGGAUCUUCGGACCUUGCGCGAUUGAAUGAGCCGAUGUCGGAUUAGCUAGUUGGCGGGGUAAAGGCCCACCAAGGCGACGAUCCGUAGCUGGUCUGAGAGGAUGAUCAGCCACGCUGGAACUGAGACACGGUCCAGACUCCUACGGGAGGCAGCAGUGGGGAAUAUUGGACAAUGGGCGCAAGCCUGAUCCAGCCAUACCGCGUGGGUGAAGAAGGCCUUCGGGUUGUAAAGCCCUUUUGUUGGGAAAGAAAAGCAGCAGGUUAAUACCCCGCUGUUCUGACGGUACCCAAAGAAUAAGCACCGGCUAACUUCGUG